GCGGGCAUGGCGGAAUUGGCAGACGCGCUAGAUUCAGGUUCUAGUGGGGGAAACCCUGUGGAUGUUCGAGUCAUCUUGCCCGCAUCA
rnacentral:tRNA from 1 species